AGCAGCUUUCUUUCUAGCCCUCACGAAAUUCAGUCAUGAUCUUCUUUUCCCAGGCCCUGGCAUUCACAUCUCCUCUAAUGCCAACAUAAAGCUCAGUCAAUGUGCUGAUACUGCUCAAAUGGAGAGACAGAGGGAAGCAAGUGUGGAUGCCUUGGAUUUCAUUGUAGAUGCACUGCAGGCCUCUGGCUAAAGUUGCCAACAAUUGAGCAGCUCCUGUAAACUGAACUCAAGCCCAUGCAAAUGCAAGGCUUAUAUACAGGCAAAUUUAAACAAUUUUAACAACCGACUACCAAUGGGCAAGCCCCAAACUGAGCCUUUCUACAGCAACCCCCAACUCAGAUGAGUCCUGAGCUGCACACUUCUGCGACAAGGGUGCAGGAAGGCCCUCCUAAUGUAAGAUAGCUGAUUUAAGAGCACGGUGAUACCAAACAGUCGCGAUUCAGCAGGUACGAGUCUAGCCUAUGCUAUGUAAGGCAAAGAAACAAAAUUUCUAGAUGGGAGGAGUAAGGGAGAGUCACUUAAAGAUCAAAGUAAGAGUGUUUAGUAGUAUACUAUUGGAUGACCUGCAGUGGUAACAACUUCUGCACAAACUGGCAGCUCUUCAAGCAACUGUGAACAGUGGGAGACUAUGGAGAGCAUUUCCUAUAAUGGAUUUUAAACUGGAGAGGUUUGCUUAUAUGCAAGCACUGAGAACUGCAUUUGCAUGAUGCUCAAACACAAAGCUUUUAUACCAGCAGGAUGAAAGACUUUUAUAAAGUUAAACCCUGAGGACAAUCAGAUAAAAACACAGUAAGUUACCAACUAGCAGUUCCCACCUUGGAUUGUUGAAUUUAGCUCUCUGCUCCCAUCAGAGUGCAAAAAAACCCUUCCAACGUAAAACAAAUGGCUUUGAACUUUAGUGCAGUAACAAAAGCUUUAUAACAGAAGUAAGAAUUCCUGCAAUAUCAGGAAUCCUUGGAAAUAAGUUUACUAACCCUGAUAAAUGUUCACAACACACAAAAACUUUGCAAAACUUAGAAAUAUUUUGACAGACUCAGAACUUUGUCAAACUCAAAACAGCUUUUGCAGUAUCAUAGGAGGUUAAGAAAUAUCAGAAAGAUGUUAAAACAAAAGAGCAGUACAGUGACAACAGUCAAAUAAACUAUCUUCUUCACUAGACUAACUUCUGCUUUCCUGUAUAUGAAGGACUACCACAAUAUAUUCUUGACUUUCUCUGCAACUGGGACUACUUUGGCUUCUGCUUUGAAGUUCUCAUUUCUUCAUCUCUCCCGCAAUGUGCAUCCUGCCACACAUCUCCAGGACAUUAUUCCCAUCACUUCAAUAUUCAAUUACUCUGCUUUCCACUGCCAAGUUUUCUGUGCCAUACAGAAGCACUGGUCACACCACUGUUUUGUACCCCUUAUUUUUCAGAUUCUUUGGCAUUCUUCUCUCACACACUACCUCUGACACUCUGUACAAGUUGGCUGCAGCACUUCUGAUUCUAGCUUUUAUCUCUUCAUUCAUCCUUCCCUUCUUCUCAACUACAUUUCCCAGAUACUUGAAGCUAUUAACCUGUUCUAUUUCCCUUUUAUCUCAGUUUUCACAAUUCGCAAGAUAGGCACAGCCUCUCAUAUUCUGUGUGUUUCAAAACAGGCUAAUAAAGUAUGGUGAUAGCCUCAUAAAAAGCAGGCAUUUUCAAUGAUCAAACUAUGAACCACUCAACAAACCAGUCUUUUAGAUGGAUGUGAUAAAGCUCAACCAAAAGUGUUUUCUAAAAUAUAGAUCUAUAGUGGCAGCUCGUGGUUUGUUGUCAUUUUCUGUUUGAUUGUUUGGUUGUUUGUUAAAAAUAAAAAUAAAAAAUCUUUUUAACUAAGUAUGAGGUUUCACAAGUUGCUGAGCUGGUAAACCCUCACAGGUCUUUCAGGAAUAUUCAAAUAAGGGACUAACCUCUAAGCUUUGGAAGUGUUUUUCCAUUUCCCAAAUUUUACACCAAUCAGCUCUCCUGGACCCUCACUCCAUUUCUAUAACUGCCUUUAAAUAACUGACCUGUUGAAUGUAAUAUAUUAGAACAAGAACACUCGCCCAUCCACCUACUUGACUAGGGGGUGGCAACAGAGACAGAGUCUCUUAGAUCUGCUAAAGUGGUUUAUUUGGACUAAUCCUUUGUAAUCUGUUAACCUUUUAGCUUUUUCUGUUUUCACCAUUAUUGCUAUUACAAUUCUCUUGCAUGUACUUGGUUUAAUCUCACGUGCUUCUUGCAUUCUGUUCCCCUAUCAUUGGUCUCCUAUCAUUUGCUCUAGUUCCUGUUCAGUCUGCUUGUAGUGCCACAUUGUCUGCAUACAGCAGCUCUGCUCAUCUGUCCCUUCAAGUUUGUUUGCUAAUGUAGCCCAUCACCAGUAUGAACAACUGUGGGCUCAGAGCUGAACCUGAUACAUACCCACUCCCACUGGGAACCCAUCUGCAAGUGUGAACACUGUACUUGUGUCAGUCGGUUCUUGUACAUAGCCUGUACUAAUUCUACCAAUGUUUUCGGGACUUUGAACCAUCGCAGGACUGCCCAAAUCAGCUUUCUUGGGACAGUGUCAUAUGCUUUCUGUAAGUCUAGGAAUGCCUAGUUGGACUCUUUCCUCAUCUCCAGCUUCUUCUCCUUCAUUAUCUUUCUUACUGCAAAUAUUGGGUGGGUUGUGCUGCAUCCUGAUCUGAAUCUGAACUUCUCACUUCCCCUCUUACUUUCUACUGCCCUGCGUAUUAAUUUAUCACUCCCCCUUUCCAGCACUGCCAUGCAGUGUGACAUGAGUUUGAUGCCUCUGUACUGCACAUAGUUGUGAAUGUUCCCUUUGCUCUUGUACACUGGCAAUAGAAUGCAUAUUCUCCAGUCUUUUGGGAUAUGCUUUUCUACCCAUAGUGCAAUGAAUGCCCUCAGGACUGGUGAGCAGAUUGUAGCUGGCAUUUCUUAUUAAUACUGUCUCAUGAGUAUCUUCUUUAUAUUUUUCUGUCUUUGUAAAUGCAACAAGAUAGAGUUUCUUUGUGCUGUCUGCUGAGUCACCUUCCAGAAGCUGAUAACAUUUGUAUGGCACCUUGUUUCUGCCAUUGUUAAAUGCUGUCUUAUCCUCUUUGUCAACCAACCAGUAUUCCUUCUUAGCCUGGUACAUCUCUUCUGUCUCCCACUUCUUCCUGCACUCCUUUCUGUAUUCCAGCAUCACCAGCUAUUCUGAUGUACCUUACUUUUCAAUAUCCUGUUCUAACUUUUCCCUUAUAUGGCUUCAAGUAGGUAUGCUUUUUCUUUUGAGUUUUGUUUUGUAUGUAAAAUUAAUGUUACAGACUAUUAAGUUUAAAUGCCCACAACUAGCCAACGGCCCUUUCUUAUCCAGUAUCUGUGUGCCUGUCUUCCUGCUGUCACCUCAUUUGUAGUAAGAUUGGCUGUAGCAUGGCUCACAUCUCUCAUUCACAUAAUACCUUCUGAUAAUGCUACAACCCAGUCACUCCUUUAUCCUAAUAAUCACUUUCACAGUCUCUGUUUUAAAGUUUGAUUUGUUCUUUCCACUACCCAUAAAAUUCAGUAUGGUUUGAUCUUAUUUUUGUGCUAUCUGUAAAAAUAAAGUAAAUGUUUAAUUAAAACAUAUAAAAAUGUGAACCCUAUUCUAAAUGUAUUCUAUGUGGCAUUGCAAUUAAGAACAAAGAAGGUGACUGCAUCAAAGAAAUAAAUUCAAACUGGAGUAGGCAGAAACAAUCAGGAAGGAGAAGAAAGGCUUCUCAGGUAUAUUGUACAAACACAAAAGGGAGAAAUAAACCUGCCCAGGCUAAGUGAAUGAAUACUUCACCAUAUGUCAUGAAAAAAGUAGAGAACAGUUGAGACAGCAGAAUGCAGACACCAGGAAAAGGACGGAGGAAAUAAAAGGGUAACAAGGUGGACAAGGCACAGGGACUGGUUGGGUUGCCCAUCAUGGCCUGCUAGCUAGUGUGCCGGAGAGAGGAUUCACCAGCUCACUAGCCAGUGCAAAGGUGCCACAGGAUUGGAAAACAGCAAGAGUGCUAUCCCUUAAGGAAUGGAACUGGAAAAUUCGGGGAAGUACAUGUUGAUUAGACCACAUGUGGCAGCAGGGGAAGCCAUGGAUAAAAUCCUGCAAGAAAAGUUAGUAACUUUCCUAGAGAACAAUUUCCAGGACAAGAAUAGCUCAUGGCCAGAAACUACUCAAAGUCAAACAUGAUCCAGUUUAUGAGCAAGUUAUAGCAGAAUAUGAUAGAGGGGUACUUAUAGACAUAGUUUGCUUCCAGACAGGUAGUUGCUAACUGAAAGGAUUGGUGCUGAGACUGAAAUGAGGGGUUUGGGUUGCAAUGUGGAUGGAGGGUAAGACAGAGGAAUGUCAUGAAUAAAGGAAAUGACAAGCAGAAUGUUAAAGGGUUUGAGUCUGGUUUCAGUACUUUUACCUGCAUACAUUUUAGACAUAUCUAAGCGAAAACAGAAUGGUGUUCAUUCUUUUGUAGAUGAAACAAACAUAGGUGUAGUAAUAGAAGAAGCUAAGGAAGGAUUUCUAAAAAUGAUUUGAGUGAGCAGUCAGAAGGCAGUUGAACUUCAGUACAGACCAAUAUAAAUCACUGAAAAUAAUAAAAUAACAACACCAAAAGUCAUAGCAAGUUAAGUUAAAUUAAUAUUACUUUACGUAAAAUAAACCAGCAAGAUUUUUAAUGUAAAUCCUUCUGUGGGCUGAAUACAUAUAUGCAAGGUACUGCAAUUGGACAGCUGCAACUUUGGUAUGAAGUAUCAGCCGAGGUGAGUAGAAAUGACUGUUACAAAACAGGAAAGGACUUGGGGUGUGUGUCAUACCUGAACUGGAUCACCAGAAACAAAGUGAAAAUGCUGCAGUAACAGAAAACAGAAUGGUAGGAUGUAUCCUCAGGAGGAUACACUUCAGAAACAAAGAAUUAAUGUUCCCUUCCUGUAAAGUCACAGCUUAAGCCCUUUUGGGAGUUUUGGAAGCCAUACAAGUAAAGGACAUUAAGCUACUGAAGGAAUUCAGGGGAAAGCUACCAGAAGGGUGUCUGGAAUGGAAUGAACAGGACAUGGGUGCACAAUGUCAUGUUUGAGGCAUCUGAAGAGGUCACACUGAAUAGUAAAAUGGGGUAGAGGGCAGAGAUUUCAGAUUAUGGGAACUGUGACGUUCAGCAUUUAUAAAUUGUUUUAUCUGUUUCACCUGUCCUUGAACAUAGCAUUUUGAUCAUCUAUUUUACAUGACAUUAAUUUUCAAGUAUCGUGCUGCAAUAAA